rnacentral:rRNA from 1 species
UUGAACGCUGGCGGCACGCCUUACACAUGCAAGUCGAACGGCAGCACGGGAGCAAUCCUGGUGGCGAGUGGCGAACGGGUGAGUAAUAUAUCGGAACGUGCCCAGUCGUGGGGGAUAACGCAGCGAAAGCUGUGCUAAUACCGCAUACGAUCUAUGGAUGAAAGCGGGGGAUCGCAAGACCUCGCGCGAUUGGAGCGGCCGAUAUCAGAUUAGCUAGUUGGUGGGGUAAAGGCCCACCAAGGCGACGAUCUGUAGCUGGUCUGAGAGGACGACCAGCCACACUGGAACUGAGACACGGUCCAGACUCCUACGGGAGGCAGCAGUGGGGAAUUUUGGACAAUGGGCGCAAGCCUGAUCCAGCAAUGCCGCGUGCAAGAUGAAGGCCUUCGGGUUGUAAACUGCUUUUGUAC